AGAGCGAACGCUGGCGGCAGGCCUAACACAUGCAAGUCGAGCGCCCCGCAAGGGGAGCGGCAGACGGGAGAGUAACACGUGGGAACGUACCUUUCGGUUCGGAACAACCCAGGGAAACUUGGGCUAAUACCGGAUACGUCCGUAAGGAGAAAGAUUUAUCGCCGAAAGAUCGGCCCGCGUCUGAUUAGCUAGUUGGUGAGGUAACGGCUCACCAAGGCGACGAUCAGUAGCUGGUCUGAGAGGAUGAUCAGCCUCACUGGGACUGAGACACGGCCCAGACUCCUACGGGAGGCAGCAGUGGGGAAUAUUGGACAAUGGGCGCAAGCCUGAUCCAGCCAUGCCGCGUGGGUGAUGAAGGCCCUAGGGUUGUAAAGCCCUUUCGGCGGGGAAGAUAAUGACGGUACCCGCAGAAGAAGCCCGGCUAACUUCGUGCCAGCAGCCGC
rnacentral:rRNA from 1 species